rnacentral:tRNA from 1 species
GCCUGAGUAGCUCAGCCUGGUAGAGCACACGGCUGUUAACCGUGCGGUCGCAAGUUCAAAUCUUGCCUCAGGCG